GGAGAAGUACCCAAGAGGCCGAAGGGGCUCCCCUGCUAAGGGAGUAGUACUGUGAAAGGUAGCAAGGGUUCAAAUCCCUUCUUCUCCGCCA
rnacentral:tRNA from 1 species